AGAAAUUUAGGUUAAACAGACCGGAAGCCUUCAAAGCUUCAAGCAAGCCCCCUACGCUUAAUUUCUG
rnacentral:tRNA from 1 species